rnacentral:piRNA from 1 species
UGGUGUCUAUAGGGAGGAGA